rnacentral:rRNA from 1 species
AUGAACGCUGGCGGCGUGCCUAAUACAUGCCAGUCGAGCGAACAGACGAGGAGCUUGCUCCUCUGACGUUAGCGGCGGACGGGUGAGUAACACGUGGAUAACCUACCUAUAAGACUGGGAUAACUUCGGGAGACCGGAGCUAAUACCGGAGAAUAUAUUGAACCGCAUGGUUCAAUAGUGAAAGACGGUUUUGCUGUCACGUAUAGAUGGAUCCGCGCCGCAUUAGCUAGUUGGUAAGGUAACGGCUUACCAAGGCAACGAUGCGUAGCCGACCUGAGAGGGUGAUCGGCCACACUGGAACUGAGACACGGUCCAGACUCCUACGGGAGGCAGCAGUAGGGAAUCUUCCGCAAUGGGCGAAAGCCUGACGGAGCAACGCCGCGUGAGUGAUGAAGGUCUUCGGAUCGUAAAACUCUGUUAUUAGGGAAGAACAAAUGUGUAAGUAACUAUGCACGUCUUGACGGUACCUAAUCAGAAAGCCACGGCUAACUACGUG